GAUGAACGCUGGCGGCGUGCCUAAUACAUGCAAGUCGAGCGAACAGACGAGGAGCUUGCUCCUCCGACGUUAGCGGCGGACGGGUGAGUAACACGUGGAUAACCUACCUAUAAGACUGGGAUAACUUCGGGAAACCGGAGCUAAUACCGGAUAAUAUAUUGAACCGCAUGGUUCAAUAGUGAAAGACGGUUUUGCUGUCACUUAUAGAUGGAUCCGCGCCGCAUUAGCUAGUUGGUAAGGUAACGGCUUACCAAGGCGACGAUGCGUAGCCGACCUGAGAGGGUGAUCGGCCACACUGGAACUGAGACACGGUCCAGACUCCUACGGGAGGCAGCAGUAGGGAAUCUUCCGCAAUGGGCGAAAGCCUGACGGAGCAACGCCGCGUGAGUGAUGAAGGUCUUCGGACCGUAAAACUCUGUUAUUAGGGAAGAACAAAUGUGUAAGUAACUAUGCACGUCUUGACGGUACCUAAUCAGAAAGCCACGGCUAACUACGUG
rnacentral:rRNA from 1 species